rnacentral:tRNA from 1 species
GUCGAAUAGCUCAUUUGGUAGAGCACAAGAUUUUGGAUCUUGCGGUAGUGGGUUCAACUCCCACUUCGACUC